ensembl:snRNA U2 U2 spliceosomal RNA
AUCGCUUCUCAGCCUUUUGGCUAAGAUCAAGUGUAUUUUAUUCUUAGUGUCAAAAUCUAAAAUCAUUUAAAAAACUAAAUAUACUUUAAUUGAACACCAAUU